CGAGAACUACGAGAACAACAUAAUAUCCCGAAAACAAGAUUAUAUAUCCCGAGAACAAGAUUUUUAAUUGUGUUAUAGGUGUUUUUAUUGUGUUUUUACUACUUUUUACAAUAAUAAAGAAUAUUAAUAAGAGAUAAUACUCGUUUUUAUUCAAUAAAAAUGCAAUUUCAGGUCAAAAAAUCAUUUUCUAUGUCUUGUAUGCAAAAUCCUUGUUGACACAAUAUGGCGGACAUUCUAAAGGUAGACAACUUAAGAAAAUCAAAGUAUUAGAAGAUCUUAGAAGAAC
rnacentral:lncRNA from 1 species